rnacentral:rRNA from 1 species
GACGAACGCUGGCGGCGUGCUUAACACAUGCAAGUCGAGCGGAAAGGCCCUUCGGGGUACUCGAGCGGCGAACGGGUGAGUAACACGUGAGCAAUCUGCCCUUAGCUUCGGGAUAGCUCCGGGAAACCGGAAUUAAUACCGGAUACGACCACGGCCGGCAUCUGCCGUGGUGGAAAGAUUUAUCGGCUAGGGAUGAGCUCGCGGCCUAUCAGCUUGUUGGUGGGGUAACGGCCUACCAAGGCGACGACGGGUAGCCGGCCUGAGAGGGCGACCGGCCACACUGGGACUGAGACACGGCCCAGACUCCUACGGGAGGCAGCAGUGGGGAAUAUUGCGCAAUGGGCGAAAGCCUGACGCAGCGACGCCGCGUGCGGGAUGAAGGCCUUCGGGUUGUAAACCGCUUUCAGCAGGGACGAAGCGAAAGUGACGGUACCUGCAGAAGAAGCGCCGGCUAACUACGUGCCAGCCGCCGCGGUAAAAC